rnacentral:lncRNA from 1 species
GUUUUAUUUAAGGCUCAGAAGACCUUUAUGUUCCAAAGAUAUCAACAGGCCCAAGUGCAGUGAAUGCUACCCUCUACUGUUGACUGUAAUUAACUCCCCGGCACCAUUUAGAAAUCGUUGUGCCAUGUAAUUUUUGUGUUUAAGAAGUAUCUUAAGUACAACAGUUAAAAGCCUGACCUCUGGAAGUGGAUUUCCUCUGCGUGUCUCCGUUUCCUCACCUGCAAUAUGAAGAUAACAAUGGAGGUGAAGCGGGGGCCCUGGAAACCAGUCAAGAUCCCCAGAGAUAAACCCUGGGGCAGCAAGAAGGCUGUCAAUGAAAAGUGGCCUGACCUUUCGCCUCGUGAGUCACAGAAUUCCCACAAAUGCUGUGUCCCCACCAGCUCUGGCAGAACUCACCGCCACAGUCCAGACUUCGAAGCCACUUUGUAAACAGAGAGGAGGGUGUGUUGUACCAAGUCAGAGCACUGGUACCCGGAGCACCUCAAAACACAGGGUGUGUGCUCUCUUACCCUUCUUCCCAGGUUCAAAAAGUCAUAGAACCCUUAAACAGUUUGCCUCUGCAAAUGCGGUCUACAGCCAUCUAAGUGCCUUUAAAUGGAUCUGAAUGUAGCGUUCCACAUCUGAACCAAGAGCCUUUGGGAGGACUGUGCUAAAGCAGUGAAUCUCAAGGGAAGGGGGGGCAAGGGUGCAGGGGCAGGGGCGUGGGCGUGGGUAGGGAUGAGACCAAAAGAAAGAGAUGCUAUGCUUUCAGUGUGGUUUGUCUACCCCAAGACUCACACUGGAGUUUAAUCUCUCUUGUGGGGCACUCAAUCAGAUGAAGUCUUUGGGAGGUGAUGGGGGUAAGAUAAGGUCACCAGGGUGGAGCCCCUUGAUUUAAUACCGUGGCUGUAAAAGAACAGGAAGAAACCAGAAUACACGCACGCACAUGCUCUCUGUCCCUUGUCGUGUGAUACCGUGCGUCACCAGGUUGCCAUCAGCAAGGCUAUCACCAGAUGCAGCCCCAUGACCUUUGACCAGAACCAUGAGCCAAAAGAAACUUCUAGUAAUUAGUAUGUGUCUUCCCUAGUCGGCUGCUGUUGUGUUAAGAGCAACAGAAAACAUAAAACCAAUGGGUCUAUACUGUUGACAGCACUUAAGAGUUAAAUAAAAGUUGGGGGUUCACUGAAUGUCUUAUUUAAGAUACAAAGUUAAUUAAUCUCUUUGCACCUUGGGUUCUGCAACAAAAAUGAGAGUGUUUUGAAGUCUCUGGUUUUUGAAUCCAUAAACUCAGAUUUUUUUUCCCCCCAUGACAACAGUCUUACUAUACAUUCACCAUACCUCAAAAACAAACACACAAACCAUUGACCACCAUGCUUACUUCUAGGAUGAUGGUUCCCAGUCCUAGCUGUCCAUGUAGUCACUCGGCGAGCUAGCCAAUGACAAUGUUGGUGUGCAAAGCCACUCCCAGAGGUGAUGGAGUUGACCUGGAUUGGCUCAGAUACCAGAAUCUCUCUUCUACCGUCUUUGAAAACAAGACCUUCUUUUCUUUGAAGUAGCCCAUCUGCUCCCUAACCAUUUCCACCCCAGACUCCCUGCAUAGCCCAUUACUUGAAAGUGCCCCAUAGUUCAAAGCCUAACUCAGCUUCCCUCUUCUCAAGAAGGCCUUCACGGAUGAUGCCCCAGGCCUCCUACCUCCCUUCCUCCCUUGCACAGGAAGUUCUCCAUAGCAACAUUGAGAAUGAUGCCGAUGAUUCCGGUACCCAGCAAGUUAUCAGGCUCACUGUGGAGUGUGUUGCUCGCAUCAUGCUGUGUCGUUCUCACAGCAACACUGCUGGCUAGUGUGGGAACACAAGAAGUCUAUGCGCUGACUCCCCUGAGGUUACACAGCUGCAACUGGCAAAUCCAGGCCCCAGAGAGAAAAGUUACACUUUAGUAGCCCAGCUCACUUCUGAAAACCCCCCCCUUCCAUGCCUCUACUUCUACCAGAAGUUCCUAUCUGUUACUUCUCUGCAUUUCAUACUCCUCCGCCCACUAACACUCUCCAC